rnacentral:rRNA from 1 species
GUCGAACGUUGUUUUCGGGGAGCUGGGCAGAAGGAAAAAGAGGCUCAACGCGGUCAGGUAGCUUGUCUCGCCCAGGGGUGGGAACAGUUGAGAACAAAGUGGC